AUUAUGUCUUCCUUAAGCUUUAAGAAUCAAUAAAAACCUUUAGAAUAGCAUUUACUAAAAAGUGACAAAGAAUGCCAAACAUUUCUAGCUUCAAAGGAAGUGACUGGCUGGCCUCCAUAAUGGACAACCCACGAGGAUUUUAAAGAUUUAAAUUUGCGCCCUUGCUGAACAAUUAUACACCGUAAAAUCUAUACUACUGCACUCUCAGCUUAACUAUACCAUCUAGCCGGUCACUCCCUUGAGUUAGAUAAGCACAUGAAAUCAUAAUAACCGCAGUUUCAAAAUGUCUGGAGAAGAACAAAGGGUACCAAUGAGGAUUGGAGAUUUUUCUGUUCUAGAUUCAGAAUUCAACAGUAUUAAGGAUAGAUUUGACAACGAGAUGAAAAAAAUGGAAGACGAAAUGAACAGGAAAACACAAUUAUUACAAAAUAUGCUACAGUUGCCU